UACGAAGGGAGCUAGCGUUGUUCGGAAUCACUGGGCGUAAAGCGCACGUAGGCGGAUUUGCCAGUCAGGGGUGAAAGCCCGGAGCUCAACUCCGGAACUGCCUUUAAGACUGCAUCGCUAGAACGAUGGAGAGGUAAGUGGAAUUCCGAGUGUAGAGGUGAAAUUCGUAGAUAUUCGGAAGAACACCAGUGGCGAAGGCGACUUACUGGACAUCUGUUGACGCUGAGGUGCGAAAGCGUGGGGAGCAAACAGG
rnacentral:rRNA from 1 species